rnacentral:rRNA from 1 species
AUUGAACGCUGGCGGCAGGCCUAACACAUGCAAGUCGAACGGUAGCACGGAGGAGCUUGCUCCUUGGGUGACGAGUGGCGGACGGGUGAGUAAUGUCUGGGAAACUGCCCGAUGGAGGGGGAUAACUACUGGAAACGGUAGCUAAUACCGCAUAACGUCUUCGGGCCAAAGUGGGGGACCUUCGGGCCUCACACCAUCGGAUGUGCCCAGAUGGGAUUAGCUAGUAGGUGGGGUAAUGGCUCACCUAGGCGACGAUCCCUAGCUGGUCUGAGAGGAUGACCAGCCACACUGGAACUGAGACACGGUCCAGACUCCUACGGGAGGCAGCAGUGGGGAAUAUUGCACAAUGGGCGCAAGCCUGAUGCAGCCAUGCCGCGUGUAUGAAGAAGGCCUUCGGGUUGUAAAGUACUUUCAGCGGGGAGGAAGGCGUUAAGGUUAAUAACCUUGGCGAUUGACGUUACCCGCAGAAGAAGCACCGGCUAACUCCGUGCCAGCCGCCGCGGUAA